rnacentral:rRNA from 1 species
UACGUAGGGUGCAAGCGUUGUCCGGAAUUAUUGGGCGUAAAGAGCUCGUAGGCGGUUCGUCGCGUCGGCUGUGAAAUCCCGAGGCUCAACCUCGGGUCUGCAGUCGAUACGGGCGGACUGGAGUUCGGCAGGGGAGACUGGAAUUCCUGGUGUAGCGGUGAAAUGCGCAGAUAUCAGGAGGAACACCGGUGGCGAAGGCGGUUCUCUGGGCCUGUACUGACGCUGAGGAGCGAAAGCGUGGGGAGCGAACAGG